UAGGGAAUCUUCCGCAAUGGGCGAAAGCCUGACGGAGCAACGCCGCGUGAGUGAUGAAGGUUUUCGGAUCGUAAAGCUCUGUUGCCAAGGAAGAACGUCUUCUAGAGUAACUGCUAGGAGAGUGACGGUACUUGAGAAGAAAGCCCCGGCUAACUACGUGCCAGCAGCCGCGGUAAUACGUAGGGGGCAAGCGUUGUCCGGAAUUAUUGGGCGUAAAGCGCGCGCAGGCGGUUCUUUAAGUCUGGUGUUUAAACCCGAGGCUCAACUUCGGGUCGCACUGGAAACUGGGGAACUUGAGUGCAGAAGAGGAGAGUGGAAUUCCACGUGUAGCGGUGAAAUGCGUAGAUAUGUGGAGGAACACCAGUGGCGAAGGCGACUCUCUGGGCUGUAACUGACGCUGAGGCGCGAAAGCGUGGGGAGCAAACA
rnacentral:rRNA from 1 species